UACGUAGGGUGCGAGCGUUGUCCGGAAUUACUGGGCGUAAAGGGCUCGUAGGUGGCCAACUAAGUCGGACGUGAAAUCCCUCAGCUUAACUGGGGAACUGCGUCCGAUACUGGAUGGCUUGAGUUUGGGAGAGGGAUGCGGAAUUCCAGGUGUAGCGGUGAAAUGCGUAGAUAUCUGGAGGAACACCGGUGGCGAAGGCGGCAUCCUGGACCAACACUGACACUGAGGAGCGAAAGCCAGGGGAGCAAA
rnacentral:rRNA from 1 species